CCUACGGGAGGCAGCAGUGAGGAAUAUUGGUCAAUGGCCGUAAGGCUGAACCAGCCAAGUCGCGUGAAGGAAGCAGGAUCUAUGGUUUGUCAACUUCUUUUAUAGGGGAAUAAAGGUCUCCAUGUGUGGAUAUUUGCAUGUCCCCUCUGAUUAAGCAUUGGCUAACUCCGUGCCAGCAGCCGCGGUAAUUCGGAGGAUGCGAGCGUUAUCCGGAUUUAUUGGGUUUAAAGGGUGCGUAGGUUGGUUUUUAAGUCAGCGGUGAAAGUUUGUGGCUAAACCAUAAAAUUGCCGUUGAAACUGGUAGACUUGAGUGUGUUUGAGGUAGGCGGAAUGCGUGGUGUAGCGGUGAAAUGCAUAGAUAUCACGCAGAACUCCGAUUGCGAAGGCAGCUUACUAAGCCAUAACUGACACUGAAGCACGAAAGCGUGGGGAUCAAACAGGAGUAGAUACCCUAGUAGUC
rnacentral:rRNA from 1 species